CUGGAACCUCUCGGGGUUACAGCCUUGCUGAAUUAUUCACCCUUGUCUUUUGCGUACUUCUUGUUUCCUUGGUGGGUUCGCCCACCACUAGGACAAACAUAAACCUUUUGUAAUUGCAAUCAGCGUCAGUAACAAAUUAAUAAUUACAACUUUCAACAACGGAUCUCUUGGUUCUGGCAUCGAUGAAGAACGCAGCGAAAUGCGAUAAGUAGUGUGAAUUGCAGAAUUCAGUGAAUCAUCGAAUCUUUGAACGCACAUUGCGCCCUUUGGUAUUCCAAAGGGCAUGCCUGUUCGAGCGUCAUUUGUACCCUCAAGCUUUGCUUGGUGUUGGGCGUCUUGUCUCUAGCUUUGCUGGAGACUCGCCUUAAAGUAAUUGGCAGCCGGCCUACUGGUUUCGGAGCGCAGCACAAGUCGCACUCUCUAUCAGCAAAGGUCUAGCAUCCAUUAAGCCUUUUUUUCAACUUUUGACCUCGGAUCAGGUA
rnacentral:sRNA from 1 species